UACGGGGGGGGCAAGCGUUGUUCGGAAUUACUGGGCGUAAAGGGUGCGUAGGCGGCCCUGUAAGUCAGUGCUGAAAUAUCCCAGCUUAACUGGGAGGGUGGCAUUGAUACUGCGGGGCUAGAGUACAGAUGAGGUAGGCGGAAUUGACGGUGUAGCGGUGAAAUGCUUAGAUAUCGUCAAGAACACCUAUAGCGAAGGCAGCUUACUAGGCUGUAACUGACGCUGAGGCACGAAAGUGUGGGGAUCAAACAGG
rnacentral:rRNA from 1 species